rnacentral:lncRNA from 1 species
UUUGAUAUUAGGCUUGUGCUUGAAAGUCGGAAGGUCCUUGGACGGAGGUGUUGGAAUGGUCUUCAUGCGGCGACGUUGGCUUUGGUGACGAAAAAUAUGUAUAAAUCAUGGUCCAGCAAGCAACAAGAAUAUCGGAUUGCAGAAUAUCGCAUUACAAUAUCGGAUUGCUGAAUGUUCCAGUUCAACUAGUUGCCUCUACAAAGUCUGAGCAUAUAUUGUUUCUUUCAUAGCGUUAUAUCCUGAAAUAUCGGAGAAUGAUUAAACCUGCAGCUGGAAAGCCCUUCCACGGUCCCCCUGGAUCCACGAUGGAAGAGGGGGGAAGGCUUGGGAUGGACGCUGACGAAUUGAAAGCGCUGGCUCUGGCCGCGGCCAGCGGCAGAGCACAGGUCCUCGAGGGGUCUGCUUCACCGUUGGAGGAGGAGGAAUGCUUGGCGUGGAUGAGGAAGAGCAUCAUUGGAGCCUCAACAUUUCUUUUGAAAAGAAGUCCAUUAUUAAUUCCUGCGAUGUGCAUCCAUUGAUGUGCUCCAAGAUUCAUAUUCCAUCACUUUUCCAAGAUAAUUGCUUCAUCUAGCAUAGGAACCACACUAUAUUCUAAUCCUCCAGAGCACACCCCCCUGGCCCAAUUUGCGCUACUUCUCAU